rnacentral:rRNA from 1 species
AACGUAGGACACAAGCGUUAUCCGGAGUUACUGGGCGUAAAGAGCGUGUAGGCGGCCAAGCAGGUCCGCUGUGAAAACUCGAGGCUCAACCUCCAGCCUGCAGUGGGUAGCGGGCAAACUAGAGUGCGGUAGGGGAGAUUGGAAUUCCUGGUGUAGCGGUGGAAUGCGCAGAUAUCAGGAGGAACACCGAUGGCGAAGGCAGAUCUCUGGGCCGUAACUGACGCUGAGGAGCGAAAGCAUGGGGAGCGAACAGG